GGCUCAAUAACAUAGUUGGUAGAGCGCUUGUCUAACAUACAAGAGUGGUUGGUUCGAUUCCUACCUGAGCAC
rnacentral:tRNA from 1 species